rnacentral:rRNA from 1 species
AGCGAACGCUGGCGGCAGGCUUAACACAUGCAAGUCGAGCGGGCGUAGCAAUACGUCAGCGGCAGACGGGUGAGUAACGCGUGGGAACAUACCUUUUGGUUCGGAACAACACAGGGAAACUUGUGCUAAAUACCGGAUAAGCCCUUACGGGGAAAGAUUUAUCGCCGAAAAGAUUGGCCCGCGUCUGAUUAGCUAGUUGGUGAGGUAACGGCUCACCAAGGCGACGAUCAGUAGCUGGUCGAGAGGAUGAUCAGCCACAUUGGGACUGAGACACGGCCCAAACUCCUACGGGAGGCAGCAGUGGGGAAUAUUGGACAAUGGGCGCAAGCCUGAUCCAGCCAUGCCGCGUGAGUGAUGAAGGCCCUAGGGUUGUAAAGCUCUUUUGUGCGGGAAGAUAAUGACGGUACCGCAAGAAU